GACGAAGGGGGCUAGCGUUGUUCGGAAUUACUGGGCGUAAAGCGUGUGUAGGUGGUUGUCCAAGUUGGAUGUGAAAGCCUUGAGCUCAACUCAAGAAAUGCACUCAGGACUGGGCGACUAGAGGACCGGAGAGGAUAGUGGAAUUCCCAGUGUAGUGGUGAAAUACGUAGAGAUUGGGAAGAACACCAGUGGCGAAGGCGGCUAUCUGGACGGUUUCUGACACUAAGACACGAAAGCGUGGGGAGCAAACAGG
rnacentral:rRNA from 1 species